CCUACGUGAGGCUGCAGUGAGGAAUAUUGGUCAAUGGGCGCGAGCCUGAACCAGCCAAGCAGCGUGAAGGAUGACUGCCCUACGGGUUGUAAACUUCUUUUAUAAAGGAGUAAAGUCAGGUACGUGUGCCUUUCUGUAUGUACUUUAUGAAUAAGGAUCGGCUAACUCCGUGCCAGCAGCCGCGGUAAUACGGAGGAUCCGAGCGUUAUCCGGAUUUAUUGGGUUUAAAGGGAGCGUAGAUGGGUUGUUAAGUUAGUUGUGAAAGUCUGCGGCUCAACCGUAAAAUUGCAAUUGAUACUGGCAGCCUAGAGUACAGUUGGGGUAGGCGGAAUUCGUGGUGUAGCGGUGAAAUGCUUAGAGAUCACGAAGAACUCCGAUUGCGAAGGCAGCCUACUAAGCUGCCACUGACAUUGAUGCUCGAAAGUGUGGGUAUCAAACAGGAUUAGAUACCCUGGUAGUC
rnacentral:rRNA from 1 species